CCGGCAAGCACGGGAAAUCGCCCCUAUAAAAUGGGGCGGCUGCAAAAACGCAGGAACAUUUUGCCAUCCUGGACCGCACAGGGGUCCGAUCCAGGGAGUAGCAACGGCCCGUCUUAGGGACUCUCUUGUCACCGGGGCGGAGCGUGAGCGCACUCGUUGGCACCCGAAAGACAGCGAACUACCCCGGGCAGGACGAGGCCAGAGGAAACUCUGGUGGAGGUCCGAAGCGAUUCUGACGUGCAAAUCGAUCGUUCGACCCUUGUAUAGGGGCGAAAGACCAAUCGAACCAUCUAGUAUCUGG
rnacentral:rRNA from 1 species